AUUGAACGCUGGCGGCAGGCCUAACACAUGCAAGUCGAGCGAGCGGCGGACGGGUGAGUAAUGUCUGGGAAACUGCCUGAUGGAGGGGGAUAACUACUGGAAACGGUAGCUAAUACCGCAUACCAUCAGAUGUGCCCAGAUGGGAUUCGCUAGUAGGUGGGGUAAUGGCUCACCUAGGCGACGAUCCCUAGCUGGUCUGAGAGGAUGACCAGCCACACGGGACAUGAUACACGGGCCAGACGCCUACGGGAGGCAGCAGUGGGGAAUAUUGCACAAUGGGCGCAAGCCUGAUGCAGCCAUGUCGCGGGGAUGAAGGAGGCCUUCGGGUUGUAAAGUACUUUCAGCGGGGAGGCGUUACCAGCAGAAGAAGCACCGGCUAACUACGUGCCAGCAGCCGCGGUAAUGC
rnacentral:rRNA from 1 species